ACUCCUACGGGAGGCAGCAGUGGGGAAUAUUGGACAAUGGGGGAAACCCUGAUCCAGCAAUGCCGCGUGAGUGAUGAAGGCCUUAGGGUUGUAAAGCUCUUUUACCAGGGAUGAUAAUGACAGUACCUGGAGAAUA
rnacentral:rRNA from 1 species